GGAGAUUUAAAAGGUGUCUCUGACAUCACUGAGUUCAUUCUGUCGAAGACUCCCUUUCUUAAAAACGCUGUACACUCUUUACUCUUUUUGGAUGUUCUAAAUCUCACCUUUUACGAGGCCUAGAAGGGUGAAGUGACAGGUCCAAGAUCACACACGGCUGUGGUAUAGCUGGAAUAGAACACAUUUCACAUGUCUCAGUCUUGUGCUUCAAUCACAGGACCACCUUCCCUCCCCAGGUUCACUCCUCCAUGUUGUUACACCACACGUCCUUCAUGACUAUGUCUAUGUCUCCGGAGCCAGAUUUAGGCCUUUUGUUUCUUCUCCGUCAGACAUCUGUCCUCUUUGCCUGGAUCGCUGUUCAGAGCAGCUAAAGUACAUAUAAACUACCUUGUGUACAACACACUUUGAUAGCUCACAAUGAGACACCAAAGCUGAAAUAAACAUAGCCAGGAAAAAAAAUGUUAAAUCCCUACUUCAAAACUUGUUUUGUAUUUUCUUAUUCCUUAAAGUUAUUUUUAAGUGUCUA